UACGAAGGGGGCUAGCGUUGUUCGGAAUUAUUGGGCGUAAAGCGCGUGUAGGCGGCUUAGCAAGUCGGGCGUGAAAGCCCUCGGCUCAACCGAGGAAGUGCACCCGAAACUGCUGAGCUUGAGUGCCGGAGAGGAUGGCGGAAUUCCCCAAGUAGAGGUGAAAUUCGUAGAUAUUCGCAAGAACACCAGUGGCGAAGGCGGCUCACUGGCCCGAUACUGACGCUGAGGCACGAAAGCGUGGGGAGCAAACAGG
rnacentral:rRNA from 1 species